CUCGCUGCGCCCCGCCGCCCUCCCCCUCGCGCAGCCCCACCGCCCGCCGCCCGACCCCUCCUCUCCGUCUCUCCUUUCCGUCUGCCGCCCUCCCCUUCCUCUCCGACUCCUGCACCGCGUGCUCGGCACCCCCCUCCUCCGCCGCGCCGCCAGGGCCCGAGCCUAGAAUCCAUCUCCCCCUCGCGCAGCCCCUCCUUGUGCCCCCUCCUCUCCGUCUCUCCUCUCCGUCCGCCGCCCUCCCCCUCCUCUCCAACUCCUGCACCUCGCGCCCCGCACCCCGCACCACGACUCCGAACUCCGUCCUCGCCGCGUCCGCUGCCUCCGAGAAGGUCGCCGCACCGCUUGCAUCCCCGCCGAGCUGAGAAGGCCGCCACCAUCUUGCCCGCGCGUGUGCCGGGCCCCUCCGCCGCUCUCCUACCCGCGGAUCCACUGCAUCUGCUCCAGCCACCGAUUAUACCUGGACGCCUCCCUCGUCACGAGCCUGCCAUGUGCCGCGAUUCCCCGCUCCACGUGCUGCCCCACCCGGGCGAGGCGCUGCAGGCGCUGCUUGCCUCUCCACAAGCCUCCCGUUCGUCCUCUUAGAGCUAUUGCUCUGCUUGCUUGCAGUCGUCUCCCCGACUCCCCAAGUGCCUCCUCCCCGAUCUCCUCUUUCCAAUUGAUAGAGAUUAUUCCCUUCGCAUCCUCUCUCAGUUGUGACAUGUGAAGGGUGCAGCGGCAAUGCUAGACAGUAGACAGACGCCAUAUUGCUAAUCGUUGGCACUGAGCAGGCUGGGCGUUUACGGCACCAUCCAAUCAUCCAUCAGGAGCGGGUGAUAGCAGAGUUGGCAAGCCACAGUCAAUUUUUUCACAGCAGGCCUCUCACAGCAGCUUUUUCACAGCGGACAUCUGAUAGCAGCUUUUCCACAGCUCACAACUGAACCAAAUGCAUCCUUAGUGGCUUUUGGGGCAAAAAAUUAGCCACCUGCCAGUGGUUAUGAAAAAACGGUUCGCUCUUCUAUUCUUCCACCCGUUCGACUCCCACCUGUCUCCCCAUCGCCUCCCACCCGCGCCUCUAGGUCGGCCGCCGCCUCCGCCCCGGCCGCCGCCUCUACGCCCCAGCCGCCGCCCCCCCAUCCUGGCCGCCGCUACACCCUCGUCGUCGCCCCGGCCACUGCCUCCGCCCCGGCCGUCGCCCUAGCUGCCGCCCCGGCUGCGAGUUCCUCCUCGUCGUGUCCGACGGGCUCUAGGAUAAGGUGAGCAAUCAGGAGGCCGUCGACAUCGUCUCGAGGAGCUGGAACACGGCGGCAACAUCGUCCGUGGCGCGUUCUUGCGCGGAGCUCGUGGACAUGGCGCGGUGCAGCGGGAGCAGGGACGACGUCACCGUUAUGGUUGUCGACCUUGAGAGGUUCGUGAGAUAAAAGUGACGGAGCUGGUGAUGGAGGCACUAACUGAAGUGACGAGCUUAGUUAGCAAAUUUGAGCUGAUGGAGGUUAAACGGAGCUUCUUGAUUGAUUGUAAAUAUGCAGUAAACAUCAUUUUUUUCUGUCCCUCUCGAUCUGUAAGUAUAGGUAGCAGUUAGGAAUGCAGUGUUUGGAGGGUACAGAAAAUUAGGAAGACACUUGCUUUUUGGCAGGUAAUUGUUACUUCUGUUAUUGUUCAAGGAAUGGUUGGUGGUGUACAGAUAACUCAUUUGAAUGUAAGCUCUCAGACGGCAGGAAGGUUUUAUUUGUGCUGAA